AACGGGAGUAUGACAAAUCAGAUUUUUUUUCUUGAUUUUCAACUUUUUCCUCUUGGAAAAAUUCAAAUCAAAUUAAAAACACUAAAAAUUAAGAGAAAAAAUUUGAUUUGUCAUUCUCCUAUU
rnacentral:pre_miRNA from 1 species